rnacentral:rRNA from 1 species
AACGUACGCUGGCGGCACGCCUAACACAUGCAAGUCGAACGAAGUAGCAAUACUUAGUGGCAGACGGGUGAGUAACAUGUAGGUAUCUGCCCUUUGGCCUGGAAUAACACGAGGAAACUUGUGCUAAUACCGGAUAAGUCUUUACGGAGAAAGCUUUAUGCACCAUUGGAUGAGCCUGCACUUGAUUAGUUUGUUGGUGGGGUAAUGGCCUACCAAGACUGUGAUCAAUAGCUGAUUUGAGAGGAUGAUCAGCCACAUUGGGACUGAGACACGGCCCAAACUCCUACGGGAGGCAGCAGUGGGGAAUCUUGCACAAUGGAGGAAACUCUGAUGCAGCGAUGCCGCGUGAGUGAAGAAGGCCCUUGGGUUGUAAAGCUCUUUCGUCGGGGAAGAAAAUGACUGUACCCGAAUAAGAAGGUCCGGCUAACUUCGUGCCAGCAGCCGCGGUAAUACGAAGGGACCUAGCGUAGUUCGGAAUUACUGGGCUUAAAGAGUUCGUAGGUGGUUGAAAAAGUUAGUGGUGAAAUCCCAGAGCUUAACUCUGGAACUGCCAUUAAAACUUUUCAGCUAGAGUAUGAUAGAGGAAAGCAGAAUUUCUAGUGUAGAGGUGAAAUUCGUAGAUAUUAGAAAGAAUACCAAUUGCGAAGGCAGCUUUCUGGAUCAUUACUGACACUGAGGAACGAAAGCAUGGGUAGCGAAGAGGAUUAGAUACCCUCGUAGUCCAUGCCGUAAACGAUGUGUGUUAGACGUUGGAAAUUUAUUUUCAGUGUCGCAGGGAAACCGAUAAACACACCGCCUGGGGAGUACGACCGCAAGGUUAAAACUCAAAUGAAUUGACGGGGACCCGCACAAGUAGUGGAGCAUGUGGUUUAAUUCGAAGAUACGCGCAGAACCUUACCAACACUUGACAUGUUCGUCGCGACUCUAAGAGAUUAGAGUUUUCGGUUCGGCCGGACGAAACACAGGUGCUGCAUGGCUGUCGUCAGCUCGUGUCGUGAGAUGUUGGGUUAAGUCCCGCAACGAGCGCAACCCUCACUUUUAGUUGCCAUCAUUAAGUUGGGCACUCUGAAAGAACUGCCAGUGAUAAGCUGGAGGAAGGUGGGGAUGACGUCAAGUCCUCAUGGCCCUUACGUGUUGGGCUACACACGUGCUACAAUGGUGUCUACAACAGGAAGCAAGACUGCGAAGUUAAGCAAAUCCCUAAAAGAUACCUCAGUUCGGAUUGCACUCUGCAACUCGAGUGCAUGAAGCUGGAAUUACUAGUAAUCGUGGAUCAGCGUGCCACGGUGAAUGCGUUCCCGGGUCU